rnacentral:misc_RNA from 1 species
UCCGUUUUGUCAACGGCAGUCCCCUCAGAGUGCCCGGCAUAACCCGAUGGCAACAGAGGGCGAGGGUUGCGCUCGUUGCGGGACUUAACCCAACAUCUCACGACACGAGCUGACGACAGCCAUGCAGCACCUGUGCACGGGUGCCGAAGCAACGAUGGCUUUCACCACCCGUCCCGUGCAUGUCAAACCCAGGUAAGGUUCUUCGCGUUGCGUCGAAUUAAACCACAUGCUCCACCGCUUGUGCGGGCCCCCGUCAAUUCCUUUGAGUUUCAGCCUUGAGGCCGUACUCCCCAGGCGGGGCACUUACUGCGUUAGCGACGGCACCGGGAGGGUCGCUCCCCCCGACGCCUAGUGCCCAUCGUUUACGGCGUGGACUAC